AUUGAACGCUGGCGGCAGGCCUAACACAUGCAAGUCGAACGAGUGGCGGACGGGUGAGUAAUGUCUGGGAAACUGUCUGAUGGAGGGGGAUAACUACUGGAAACGGUAGCUAAUACCGCAUACCAUCGGAUGAGCCCAGAUGGGAUUAUCUAGUAGGUGGGGUAAAGGCUCACCUAGGAGAAGAUCCCUGGCUGGUCUGAGAGGAUGACCAGCCACACUGGAACGGAGACACGGUCCAGAGUCCGACGGGAGGAAGCAGUGGGGAAGAUUGAACAAUGGGUGCAAGCCUGAUGCAGCCAUGCCGCGUGUAUGAAGAAGGCCUUCGGGUUGUAAAGUACUUUCAGCGGGGAGGCGUUACCCGCAGAAGAAGCACCGGCUAACUCCGUGCCAGCAGCCGCGGUAAUUC
rnacentral:rRNA from 1 species